GUGCUUGCUUCGGCACCACAUAUACUAAAAUUGGAACGAUACAGAGAAGAUUAGCUUGGUCCCUGCGCAAGGAUGACAUGCAAAUUCGUGAAGCAUUCCAUAUUUUU
ensembl:snRNA U6 U6 spliceosomal RNA